rnacentral:rRNA from 1 species
AGAGUUUGAUCCUGGCUCAGGAUGACCUCUAGCGACAGGCUUAACACAUGCAAGUCGAGGGGCAGCGGGGGUGAUGGCUUGCCAUCACCUGCCGGCGACCGGCGCACGGGUGAGUAACACGUAUGCAACCUGCCCGCCACAGGGGGGAUAAGCGGAAGAAAUUCCGUCUAAUACCGCGUGACGCGGCGUCGGGGCAUCCCGGUGCCGCCAAAGGGAUUACCGGUGGCGGAUGGGCAUGCGGCGCAUUAGCUAGUCGGCGGGGUAACGGCCCACCGAGGCGACGAUGCGUAGGGGUUCUGAGAGGAAGGUCCCCCACACUGGUACUGAGACACGGACCAGACUCCUACGGGAGGCAGCAGUGAGGAAUAUUGGUCAAUGGGCGGGAGCCUGAACCAGCCAAGUCGCGUGAGGGAUGACGGUCCUACGGAUUGUAAACCUCUUUUGCCGGGGAGCAAGCGUGCGUUCGUGAACGCGCGUCGAGAGUACCCGGAGAAAAAGCAUCGGCUAACUCCGUGCCAGCAGCCGCGGUAAUACGGAGGAUGCGAGCGUUAUCCGGAUUUAUUGGGUUUAAAGGGUGCGUAGGCGGGAUGCCAAGUCAGCGGUAAAAAUGCGGUGCUCAACGCCGUCGAGCCGUUGAAACUGGCGUUCUUGAGUGGGCGAGAGGUAUGCGGAAUGCGUGGUGUAGCGGUGAAAUGCAUAGAUAUCACGCAGAACUCCGAUUGCGAAGGCAGCAUACCGGCGCCCUACUGACGCUGAGGCACGAAAGCGUGGGUAUCGAACAGGAUUAGAUACCCUGGUAGUCCACGCAGUAAACGAUGAAUGCUAACUGUCCGGUGCGAGUGAGCGCUGGGCGGUACAGCGAAAGCGUUAAGCAUUCCACCUGGGGAGUACGCCGGCAACGGUGAAACUCAAAGGAAUUGACGGGGGCCCGCACAAGCGGAGGAACAUGUGGUUUAAUUCGAUGAUACGCGAGGAACCUUACCCGGGCUCAAACGCAGGAUGACGGGUCCCGAAAGGGGCCUUUCUUCGGACAUUCUGCGAGGUGCUGCAUGGUUGUCGUCAGCUCGUGCCGUGAGGUGUCGGCUUAAGUGCCAUAACGAGCGCAACCCCUGUCCACAGUUGCCAGCAGGUAAAGCUGGGGACUCUGUGGAGACUGCCGGCGCAAGCUGCGAGGAAGGCGGGGAUGACGUCAAAUCAGCACGGCCCUUACGUCCGGGGCGACACACGUGUUACAAUGGCAGGUACAGCGGGAUGCCACGGGGCGACCCGGCGCUGAACCCGAAAACCUGUCUCAGUUCGGAUUGGAGUCUGCAACCCGACUCCAUGAAGCUGGAUUCGCUAGUAAUCGCGCAUCAGCCACGGCGCGGUGAAUACGUUCCCGGGCCUUGUACACAACGCCCGUCA